CACCACCAACAGGCGGAACCCCUCACCACGAAUCUUCCAGCUGUCACCACCAACAGGCAGAGCCCUCCAGGCAUUCACCACCAACAGGCGGAACCGCUCACCAUGAACCCCCCAGCUCUCACCACCAACAGGCGGAGCCCUCUCAGCUCUGACCGCCAACAGGCGGCAGCGCUCACCACAAACCUCUCAGCUCACACCACCAACAGGCAGAGCCCUCCCAGCUCUCACCACCAACAGGCGGAACCCCUCACCAUGAACCUCCUGGCGCUCACCACCAACAGGCGGAGCCCUCCCAGCUCCGACCGCCAACAGGCGGAGCCCUCCAGGCAUUCACCACCAACAGGAGGAGCCCUCCCAGCUCUCACCACCAACAGGCGGCAGUGCUCACCACGAACACCCUGGCGCUCACCACCAACAGGUGGAACCCCUCACCACGACCUCCUGGCUCUCACCACCAACAGGCGGAGCCCUCCCAGCUCUCACCACCAACAGGCGGAGCCCUCCAGACCUCCACCACCAACAGGUGGAACCCCUCACCACGAACCUCCCAGCUCUCACCACCAACAGGUGGAGCCCUCCAGGCAUUCACCAUCAACAGGCGGAACCCCUCACCAUGAACCUCCCAGCUCUCACCACGAACCUCCCAGCUCUCACCAUGAACCUCCCAGCUCUCACCACCAACAGGCAGCAGCGCUCACCAUGAACCUCCCAGCUCUCAUCACCAACAGGCAGAGCCCUCCCAGCUCUGACCACCAACAGGUGGAACCCCUCACCAUGAACCUCCCAGCUCUCACCACCAACAGGCAGAGCCCUCCCAGGCAUUCACCAUCAACAGGUGGAACCCCUCACCACGAACCUCCCAGCUCCGACCACCAACAGGCGGAGCCCUCCCAGCUCUCACCACCAACAGGCGGAAUCCGUCGCCACAAACCUCCUGGCUCUCACCACCAACAGGCAGAGCCCUCCAGGCGUUCACCACCCACAGGCGCAACCCCUCACCACGAACCUCCCAGCUCUCACCACCAACAGGCGGAGCCCUCCCAGCUCCGACCGCCAACAGGUGGAACCCCUCACCACGAACCUCCUGGUGCUCACCACCAACAGGCGGAGCCCUCUCAGCUCUGACUGCUCGCCACCAACAGGCGGAACCCCUCACCAUGAACCUCCCAGCUCUCAUCACCAACAGGCAGAGCCCUCCGGACAUUCACCACCAACAGGCAGAGCCCUCCCAGCUCUCACCACCAACAGGCGGAGCCCUCCAGGCAUUCACCACCAACAGGCGCCAGCCAUCCCAGCUCUCACCACCAACAGGCGGCAGCGCUCACCACGAACACCCUGGCACUCACCACCAACGGGUGGAACCCCUCACCACGAACCUCCCAGCUCUCACCACCAACAGGCGGAGCCCUCCCAGCUCUCACCAUCAACAGGCAGAGCCCUCCAUGCAUUCACCACCAACAGGCGGAGCCCUCCAAGCUCUCACCACCAACAGGUAGAACCCCUCACCACGAACCUCCCAGCUCUCACCACCAACAGGCGGAGCCUUCCAGGCAUUCACCACCAACAGGCGGAGCCUUCCAGGCAUUCACCACCAACAAGCGGAGCUCUCCAGGCAUUCACCACCAACAGGCGGAACCCUCCCAGCUCUCACCACCAACAGGCGGAGCCCUCCAGACAUUCACCACCAACAGGCAGAGCCCUCCCAACUCUGACCACCAACAGGCAGAGCCCUCCAUGCAUUCACCACCAACAGGCGGAGCCCUCCAGCCAUUCACCAUCAACAGGCGGAACCCCUCACCA
ensembl:lncRNA